rnacentral:rRNA from 1 species
CAAAUUAUCCUCAUAAGUUUGACAAUAAGAGAAACUAUAUAAAAUUUAGAUUAGCCAUAAUUUACAUAAUUAUAUAGUAUAAUAAAAUCGGAGGCCACGACUGUUUACUAAAAACACAAUUCAGAGCAAUGAUUAAGAUAAUAGUAUUCUGGAUGAAAUUUGCUCAAUGCCAUUAAUAUAAGAGAGGUAAUUUAAAGUUACUAAUCGAAAAUCUGGUUAAUAGCGGUCUUAACUAUGAGGAUCCUAAGGUAGCAAAAUAAAUUGGCCAUUAAAUGUGGUCUUGUAUCAAUAAUGUAACGAUGGUCUCACUGUCUCUACAACUUGCUCAGUGAAAUUGAAUUGCGAGUGCAGAUGCUCGCUGUCUUCAGAGGGGACGGGAAGACCCUAUGCAGCUU